UACGAAGGGGGCUAGCGUUGUUCGGAAUCACUGGGCGUAAAGCGCACGCAGGCGGGUCGUUAAGUCAGGGGUGAAAUCCCGAGGCUCAACCUCGGAACUGCCUUUGAUACUGGCGAUCUUUGAGUCCGGGAGAGGUGAGUGGAACUCCGAGUGUAGAGGUGAAAUUCGUAGAUAUUCGCAAGAACACCAGUGGCGAAGGCGGCUCACUGGCCCGGUACUGACGCUGAGGUGCGAAAGCGUGGGGAGCAAACAGG
rnacentral:rRNA from 1 species